rnacentral:rRNA from 1 species
CCUACGGGUGGCAGCAGUGAGGAAUAUUUGUCAAUGGCCGGAAGGCUGACCCAGCCAAGUCGCGUGAGGGAAUAAGGCCCUAUGGGUCGUAAACCUCUUUUGUCAGGGAGCAAAGGCGUCCACGUGUGGACGAGAGUAGAGUACCUGAACACAAAGCAUCGGCUAACUCCGUGCCAGCAGCCGCGGUAAUACGGAGGAUGCGCGCGUUAUCCGGCUUUAUUGGUUUUAAAGGGUGCGUAGGCGGAGUGUACAGUCAGCGGUAAAAUUUCGGGGCUCAACCCCGUCGUGCCGUUGAAACUGACGCCCUUGAGUGAGUGAGAAGUAGGCGGAAUGCGUGGUGUAGCGGUGAAAUGCAUAGAUAUCACGAAGAACGCCGAUUGCGAAGGCAGCUUACCGGCGCUCAACUGACGCUGAGGCACGAAAGUGCGGGUAUCGAACAGGAUUAGAUACCCUUGUAGUC